CUUUUCCAAACACAACAAACUCACCGCCACACAAUGCCCUUCCUGUGACCUUGAAUCCAGAGACCAUCAGGCCCAAAAGCCACCUGGAGGAUUUCACUACUGUCUCUGUGGUGGUCAGAAGCGCUGAGAGCAGGAUGCAGGAGCCAGAAGACGAUGUCAGAACCCCUUGGAACUGGAGUUACAGACAGGUAGGGAACCCACAACAGACCAAAGCAUGGAUACAACCCAAGUCCAACGUGGUGAACCAAUGAAUCUCCAAAGCACAACCCAGACACAGGUGACAUCUCUGGGAACCUGAGCAUAAGACACAGCUUCAGCGAGCUCAGCAGGUUGGUCACAGACCAGACAACAAAAGGUUCAUCCUCCUGCCUGAUCAUCAUCCAUCCAUCAGCAAGACCAUGCUCCAGUUUGGACUUCCUGGAUUCUGCGCUUCAUGCAGGAGUUAGAGCAUGUGAGGAGAUCAGCUCAGGUCCAUAGCUGGGUCCACCUGACUGCUUCUCUUCCUGUCCUCAGUGUCACAACAAUACAGGAUUCAGUCGUGAGGAUACCCCAGCCCAUCUGCCCAUUGCUCCACACAGCUACUGCCUCCAGGAAUUGAACACCUGUGACAGAGCCAAUUAUCUAGGGAUAGAGAAGUCAGGAGGCUUGGGUUGCCCUUGAGGCUGUAUUUGGGCC
rnacentral:lncRNA from 1 species